rnacentral:rRNA from 1 species
AUGGACGCAAGUCUGAUGGAGCAACGCCGCGUGAGUGAAGAAGGUUUUCGGAUCGUAAAGCUCUGUUGUUGGUGAAGAAGGAUAGAGGUAGUAACUGGCCUUUAUUUGACGGUAAUCAACCAGAAAGUCACGGCUAACUACGUGCCAGCAGCCGCGGUAAUACGUAGGUGGCAAGCGUUGUCCGGAUUUAUUGGGCGUAAAGCGAGCGCAGGCGGAAAAAUAAGUCUAAUGUGAAAGCCCUCGGCUUAACCGAGGAAUUGCAUCGGAAACUGUUUUUCUUGAGUGCAGAAGAGGAGAGUGGAACUCCAUGUGUAGCGGUGGAAUGCGUAGAUAUAUGGAAGAACACCAGUGGCGAAGGCGGCUCUCUGGUCUGCAACUGACGCUGAGGCUCGAAAGCAUGGGUAGCGAACAGGAUUAGAUACCCUGGUAGUCCAUGCCGUAAACGAUGAGUGCUAAGUGUUGGGAGGUUUCCGCCUCUCAGUGCUGCAGCUAACGCAUUAAGCACUCCGCCUGGGGAGUACGACCGCAAGGUUGAAACUCAAAGGAAUUGACGGGGGCCCGCACAAGCGGUGGAGCAUGUGGUUUAAUUCGAAGCAACGCGAAGAACCUUACCAGGUCUUGACAUCUAGCGCCAAUCGUAG